rnacentral:tRNA from 1 species
UAUUUUAUAGUUUAAAUUAAAAUAUUAAAUUGCAAAUUUAAAGUAAUUUAAAAAAAAAAAUUAAAAUAU